UUUUUUUUUUUUUACUUUUAUUUAUUUUCGAGAAGGAAUCUCACUCUGUCGCCGAGGCUGGAGUGCAGUGGUGCCAUCACAGCUUAUUACAGCCUCGACCUCCCAGGCUCAAGUGAUCCUCCCACCUCAGCUUCCUGAGUAGCUGGGACUGCAGGUGCAUGCCACCAUGCCCAGCUAAUUUUUUGUAGUUUUCUAGAGACAGGGUUUUGUCAUGUUGCCCAGGGUGAUCUGGAACUUCGGAGCUCAAGCAAUCCAUCCAUGUCUGCCUCCCAAAAUGCUGGGAUUAUAGGCAUGAGCCAGUCACCUUUUCCCUUUUAUUUUAUUUUAUUAUUUUUAUUUUAUUUUUGAGACAGAGCCUUGCUCUGUCGCCAGGCUGGAGUGCAGUGGUGUAAUCUCGGCUGACUGCAACCUCUGCCUCCCAGGUUCAAGCGAUUCUUCUGCCUCAGCCUCCCGAGUAGCUGGGAUUACAGGCGCGUGCCACCAUGCCCGGCUAAUUUUUGUAUUUUUAUUAGAGGCGGGGUUUCACCGUGUUGACCAGGAUGGUCUUGAUCUCUUAACCUCGUGAUCCACCUGCCUCGGCCUCCCAAAAUGCUAGGAUUACAGGCGUGAGCCACCGCGCCUGGCCCUAAAAGUAGCCUUCUUUUCCCUUUUAAAGAGUUAGUGUCCAUAGCUACUGGAUGCCAUUUUGGUUCAGGUGGACUGUGAAUAGGUUUCACUCAUCAUGCCCAAAGGUUGCCACUCCUGACGAGUCACAGACAACGCUUGCACCAUCAUCUUCUUCCUUCAAACAGAGUCUGUGGUCCCCUGGAUGUCACUAAGGUCCUGCUUCCUAUACCAAUAGGUUUUAAACACUACCCAAGGCAGGCUGGCUUUAAAUAUCCUACUUAAUCUGGCUGACAGGCUCUCCCUGCACCUCUGGUACUCUGCUGCCUCAUUAACAUCUCCGGCUACUCAGUUAAGGUUGGCAUAGUGUCCAUCUCUCCAGGUCAAAGGCCAGCAGCCUCUGCCUUGUACAGGAGUGUUCUCACUCCUGCUACCCACUUCUGUCUCUACUGAAAGGCAGGAGGAGACUGUGGCGUCAUCGGGAUAGUAUGUUUAAUCUAAAGGCCUGGUCACUAGAUGUGAGUUGUAGAAACUGCUUCUCUCAUCCCUCAACAAUUUCACAGUUGUAGGAGCUGACAUUAACCUGCCAUGCCCCCAACAGCUGGGCGCGGUGGCUCAUGCCUGUAAUCCCAGAACUUUGGGAGGCCAAGGCAGGUGGAUCACCUGAGGUAAGGAGUUCGAGACCAGCCUGGCCAACAUGGAGAAACCCCCGUCUCUACUAAAAAUAUAAAAAUUAGGCAUAGUGGCGCACACCUGUAAUCCCAGCUACUCAGGAGGCUGAGGCAGAAUUGCUUGAACCCAGGAGGCGGAGGUUGCAGUGAGCUGAGAUUGCGCCACUGCACUCCAGCCUGGGUGACAGAGCAAGACUCAGUCUCAAAAAAAAAAAAAAAAGUCCAGGUGCAGUGGCUCAUGCCUGUAAUCCUAGCACUUUGAGAGGCCGAGGCAGGUGGAUCACUUGAGGUUAGGAGUUCGAGACCAGCCUGGCUAACAUGGUGAAACCCCAUCGCUACUAAAAAUACAAAAAAAAAAAAAAAAAAUUAGCCGGGCAUAGUGGCAGAUGACUGUAAUCCCAGCUACUCGAGAGGCUAAGGCAGGAGAAUUGCUUGAACCUGGGAGGCGGAAGUUGCAGUGAGCCGAGAUUGUGCUACUGCACUCCAUCCUGGGUGACAGAGCCAGACUCGGUCUCAAAGAAAAACAAAAACAAAAAACAAAUCCUGCUGUGUCCCCAACAGCCUCACCAAUGAGAAUUUCCACCUCAACUCCUCCUAUUCCUUCCCCCACCUGCCCUCCCCACCUUAAUCUCUGGAGAAGGAAUAUGUUUUGAGAUACCUCGGAAAGUCUUGCCCUGUGGUACAGUCCAUUAAAGGUUCUUUACAAAUGACCAGGGAAGCUGUUCUGUUUUUUUGUUUUUGUUUUGUUUUGUGUUUUGUUUCUUAAAGACAAGGUCUUGCUCUGUCACCCAGGGUGGAGUGCAGUGGUGGGUCUAUAAUUCACUGAGGCCUCAAACUCCUAGGCUCAAGGGAUUCUCCUGCCUCACCUUCCCCAGUAGCUGGAACUACAGGUGUGCGUCACCAUGCCUGACUCUGGCUGUGUUUUGUUUUGUUUUGUUUUGUUUUGUUUUUGUAGAGACAGUGAUCUUGCUAUGCUGCCCAGGCUGGUCUCAACCUUAUGGGCUCAAGUGAUCCUCCCACCUCAGCCUCCCAAAGUGCUAGGAUUACCUGCAUGAGCUACAGCGCCCUGCCUGUUCUGGGCUUCUUGCAGAGCCUCUUCAGCUGCAGAGAAGCAGCUCUCCUUUCUCCAAGUCCAGAGCCCCAUCCCCAACAGGAUGAAUAAUGAAGCUGUUGGGAAGAUUUACUGAUAAUACAUGUAAAGGCUCUAGCACAUUUUAGGAGCUCAAGGUUGGUGCCUUCCCUUUUUCUUUACUCUGAACCGGAUAUGAGGCCUUGAGAAAGAAGAGAGGUGCUUGCAAAACGAGGUGAGGUCUCAGGCAUGGUGGCUCACGCCUGUAAUCCCAGCACUUUAGGAGGCCGAGGCGGGCGGAUCAUGAGGUCAGGAGUUCGAGACCAGCCUGGCCAACAUGGUGAAAGCCCGUCUCUACUAAAAAUACAAAAAUUAGACGGGCAUGGUGGUGGGCACCUGUAAUCCCGGCUACUUGGGAGGUUGAGGCAGGAGAAUCGCUUGAACCCAGGAGGUGGAGGUUGCAGUGAGCCAAGACUGCACCAUUGCACUCCAGCCUGGGCAAUAGAGCGAGACUCCGUCUCAAGCAAGCAAGCAAACAAACAAAAUAAAACACGAGGUCUAGUUUCAAAAGAUGUCACCCCCAACCUGGCAAAACUUCUCCUCAAGCCCUGUCGUUCCACUCUUGUCCGCCAGGAGGAGAAAAGGUUCCCUCGAAGGACGUCUUUGCUUGCGCGUUCACGGAGCCUUGAGAACGAGUGGCCGAGGGGACCCCCCGCGGCCCUGCGCGCCUAAGGGAGGACCUGACUCCUUUCAGAAUUAGCAUUUCUUCCCCUUCGUGGGUGCUCUUGAGUUCCAAAGAAAAGGAAGAGAAGCCUUCAUUGAGCAGCUUCUUCUGCCUUAGGGACUGUGCUAGGGGGUAGAUCGACCUUAGGGGAAACAAUCCCCGCUUAUUAGAGGAGGUUUUGAAUCAGGGUUUGCUUUAUUUGAAAUUUAACAAAUACAGAAAAGCAGAAGGAAGAAAAUUGAAGUAAUCCAUGUUUCCACUGGGCGCGGUGGCUCACGCCUAUAAUCCCAGCACUUUGGGAGGCCAAGGCGGGCGGAUCACGAGGUCAGGAGUUCGAGACCAGCCUGACCAACAUGGUGAAACCCCCGUCUCUACUAAAAUUACAAAAUUAGCCGGUCGUGGUGGCACACGCCUGUAAUCCCAGCUACUCAGGAGGCUGAGGCAGGAGAAUCGCUUGAACCCGGGAGGCAGAGGUUGCAGUGAGCCGAGAUUGCACCACUGCACUCCAGCCUGAGCAACAGAGUGAGACUCCGUUGUCUUUAAAGGGCAAUCCCAUAGCAAAUGACAGAGACUCACCUGAGUAAGAAAGGUUUUUGACAAGAAAA